rnacentral:ribozyme from 1 species
GGGGUGCGUAAUAGACUUACCUCCACGUGGUGCAUCCUGGGCAACGUAUGCUCAUACGGCAAAAAGUCUAU